CCCUUAGACGUUCUGGGCCGCACGCGCGCUACACUGACGAAUGCAACGUGCUUAUAACCUUGGCCGAAAGGUCUGGGUAAUCUCCAAAUUUCGUCGUGAUGGGGAUAGAUUAUUGCAAUUAUUAAUCUUCAACGAGGAAUGCCUAGUAAGCGCAAGUCACCAGCUUGCGUUGAUUACGUCCCUGCCCUUUGUACACACCGCCCGUCGCUCCUACCGAUUGAAUGGUCCGGUGAAGCGCUCGGACCGCGGCCUCUUGACGGUUCGCUGUCGAUUGGCUGUGGGAAGUUCGUUAAACCUUAUCAUUUAGAGGAAGGAGAAGUCGUAACA
rnacentral:rRNA from 1 species